GCAGUCGAACGGUAACAGGAAUUAGCUUGCUAAUUUGCUGACGAGUGGCGCACGGGUGCGUAACGCGUAUACAAUCUACCUUUUGCUGAGGGAUAGCCCAGAGAAAUUUGGAUUAAUACCUCAUGGUAUUAUUGAUAGGCAUCUAUUAAUAAUUAAAGGUUACGGCAAAAGAUGAGUAUGCGUCCCAUUAGCUAGUUGGUGAAGUAACGGUUCACCAAGGCAACGAUGGGUAGGGGUCCUGAGAGGGAGAUCCCCCACACUGGUACUGAGACACGGACCAGACUCCUACGGGAGGCAGCAGUGAGGAAUAUUGGACAAUGGGCGAGAGCCUGAUCCAGCCAUGCCGCGUGCAGGAAGACUGCCCUAUGGGUUGUAAACUGCUUUUAUACAGGAAGAAUAAGCCUUACGUGUAAGGUGAUGACGGUACUGUAAGAAUAAGGACCGGCUAACUCCGUGCCAGCAGCCGCGGUAAUACGGAGGGUCCGAGCGUUAUCCGGAAUUAUUGGGUUUAAAGGGUCCGUAGGCGGAUGAUUAAGUCAGGGGUGAAAGUUUGCAGCUCAACUGUAAAAUUGCCUUUGAUACUGGUUAUCUUGAGUUGUAUUGAAGUA
rnacentral:rRNA from 1 species